rnacentral:misc_RNA from 1 species
CUAAAGAAAAGACAAAUAGUCAAAACUUUCAACAACGGAUCUCUUGGUUCUGGCAUCGAUGAAGAACGCAGCAAAACGCGAUAAGUAAUGUGAAUUGCAGAAUUUAGUGAAUCAUCAAAUCUUUGAACGCACAUUGCGCCUGCCAGUAUUCUGGCAGGCAUGCCUGUCCGAGCGUCAUUUCCACCCUCAGGCGCUUCUUGCGUCUGCUGUUGGGGCUUUCUGCGGCCUAGCCGCAGGCCUCGAAAGCAAGUGGCGGGCUGGCUGGUCGGCUCCGAGCGCAGUAAUUUUUCUUCGCUUUGGAUGCCCCGGCUUGCGCCUUGCCGUAAAACCUUUUAUUUUUUAGG